UCAGCUGGUAGUGCUUGUGCGCUAUCACCUGUUAAGACGCCUUAUCAGCUUAUUACCGUGUUGUUCGGUCGGUUUUUUAUUCAAAAUAAAGUGUGUACCGGUUGUUAUUAUUAUAUAGUUUAGUUUUUCAGUUACAUUGUUUUUUUUCAUUUGAAGUAAUUGUUGUUUUGUUAUUAAUCAGUAAAAACUUUGCUCAAUUUUUCGUUUUAAAAUAUAUCGUUCAUAUUAUAAUUGCAAAUUCGUAUAGUUGUAUUCUGUUUUAUUUUUUAUUGGUUAUAACAUUAUUACAUUAAAGUUACAGGUGGUAUAUCACCUUUAUAAAUGGUAGUUCAUUUUAUUCAUGGUAUUCAAACAAAAUUAAAAACUGAAUAUAUUCUAAAUGAACACCUGCAACAAUUAUAAAUGUUAAUUUACCAUUUAGAAUAAUUGAAAAUCCUGUUUUAAAGAAAAUAAUUGAACGAGGUUUCCCCAACAGAAAAUUUGUGUCUCGGCCUACUUUAAUGAAAAUUAUUGAGAACGACUUUCAUAAAUUAUCCUUCAAAAUAAAAUUUGAGAUGUUUAAAUGUGAUCAUAUUGCUACAACUACUGAUGGUUGGUCGAUUUUUAAAAAAUCGUACAUUGGAAUAAUAGUCACAUAGAUUAAAGAGGAAUAAUUAAGAACUACAAGUCUUUUAAGACCGAAAAGACUAGAAGGGUCAUAUAUCUGUGAUAUUUUAGCUAAAGCAUUAAAUGAAGUAUACACACAGUUUUAAAUUUCGGAUAAAUAAUGUUAUUGUACUACAUAUAAUGAACAUUGGUCAUGUACUUGAUAAUGAAAAUCUGAAAUUUUUUAAUCAGUUGCCUGUGAAACAAUUCAGUAGUAAGUGAUAAAAUAGAAGAAAUUGAUGUCGUCAAUUUGAGCAUUUUAUAUAAAGAUGAACAAGAUCAUUAGUUAUGAAUAGUUAUAAUAGAUUAAGAAAAUAAUUAUAAUUAAUUUUAUUUUAAAUCUUAAUUCUUUUAUUAAACAUUUAUGUUUCAUACUACAUUAUUAUUUUAGUCUCUAUAUCACUUUAACUUCAAUUGCAAUGUAAUAUAAAAUUACUUAAAAUUAUGAUCUAAUCAAAAUAUUAACUUAUUUUAAAUUAACGAUGUAAAAUAUCAACUAUUAAUCUUUUUAUAAACCUUAGACAUAUU